rnacentral:misc_RNA from 1 species
GCACCCCUUCCUCUGCCUGCUCACUCCAUCUUUCGGAGCCCAUAAAGCGCGUAAACGUGUGCUGUUUGCUUUCGCGGGACCGGUGCCGUUAGCGCCACCAGCGCUUUCUCAGGGGCCCUCUCCUUUCCUUCACUGGCCGUGGGGAAACGAAGCUAUGCUGCGGAUAUCCGAGCUAUCAAGACCGGGAGAGCGUCAGGCUGUUAUGCUGAUCAUUGGAAAAAGAAGAGCACGGCCAGAAGUGGCUUGCGGCGCUUCCCGUUGGCUCUCCCUAGGUGGCGUCCGCGAGGCAGAUCACGUCUUUGUCACCAUUGCCGCAAGGCGGCGUACGGACCUUCGUACCUCUACCGCGGCAGCUGGACGCGAGUUUCGCAUCCACAUCGUGCAGCGCAUGAAAAAUCUUGUGGGCCGAGACACGGGAAGGGGCGAUCGCCAAAACUGGCCGCGGCUGAGCAAGGGAGAGAGAGGUACGGCGGUGCCCUCCUGCCGGGCAGGGACGGCUUCGCCGAGGUGAGAGGUGCCGUGCUCCGCAAAUGCAGCGCGAAAGGGACACGAACGGGAAAGGCACGCUGGCGCGGUGCCAUCAUCGGCUUCGGAGCGCCGAGCAACGUCAUUGCAGCGCUGUCCUUUCCGCUUGGUCGACAGAAAAGGCCUCACCAAGGGAAUAUUGGUGUGGCUCCAAACCUGGUGGCAGCAAGAAACGCAAAAAGUGAAACGAAAGAAAUCUCUCAUCCGCGUACGUGACUCGUGCUUCGCGGAGGCGUGAGAAGGUUGGCGGAAAGACUUGCGUGCGAGCCCGCAUACAUAGCACUCUUCUUUGGCUACACGCCUCCCUUUUCAUGCCUCCUGCCGUUUUCUGCGCUCGAGGCUCUUGCUCUCCGUCUCGUGCGCAACGGCGCGCGCGACCCUUCGUGCGUGACGGUUUGCCUUGCGUGUGUCGUAUGCAUGAGCUACCUCACUCGGGCCUCCCUGUCUCCUUUUUUCUCGGAACGCACGCGCACACGCUCGAAAG